GACGAACGCUGGCGGCGUGCUUAACACAUGCAAGUCGAACGAUGAAGAAGAGAAACGCGAACUUCGGUUCAACUUUCACUUCGGAUUAGUGGCAGACGGGUGAGUAACGCGUGAGCAACCUACCUCUUACAAAGGGAUAGCCUCGGGAAACCGUGAUUAAUACCAUAUGACACAUUCAUAAGGCAUCUUAAGACUGUUAAAGCUACGGCGGUAAGAGAUGGGCUCGCGUCCCAUUAGCUAGUUGGUGAGGUAACGGCCCACCAAGGCGACGAUGGGUAACCGGCCUGAGAGGGUGAACGGUAACAUUGGAACUGAGACACGGUCCAAACUCCUACGGGAGGCAGCAGUGGGGAAUAUUGCACAAUGGAGGGAACUCUGAUGCAGCGACGCCGCGUGGGCGAUGAAGGAAUUCGUUUCGUAAAGCUCUGUUCUAUGGGAAGAAAAGGACUGUACCAUAGGAGAAAGCCCCGGCUAAAUACGUG
rnacentral:rRNA from 1 species